rnacentral:lncRNA from 1 species
GAUGGUGUGGCUAUAUAAAGUGUAUGCUCUGCUGAAUUUUUGACAAACUUGGUCAGAAGUCUUGCAUGAAAAUGAAGUGUGGUAUCCUUAAAUUCAGGAAGUGGCACCCUCAAAGCCAGCUGAGCAGUAUAACUACCAAACAUAAAACUGGGAAGAAGAAAUGCUGUUUGAAGGGACUGACGGGUAGUUCCUCGUGCUGCAGACAGAUCCAAAAUGGAUUAAUGUUCAAGCCAGGCCCUUUCACCUGUACUCUCCCACAAGAAUUGACAAAGCAGUGCAUGUGCCUUGUCCCUUGACCUCCUGAGUCUUCUACCACCUCAGAGUUGACACCACUUUCUGAUCUGAGACAGUGUGUCAUUUGGGGUCAAUAGUUGUGCCAUGCAGUGAAGUCUUGUGAUAGAUUUCCUCUGUGGUGGGAGGAAGAGGACAAAAAAGGAAAGAAAGAAGAGGAAGAGGGAUUGUGGAGGAGCAAUGAGGAAAGAAAGAAUCUCUGACUAAAUGGCAUCUGUGCCUUUUUAAUUGGUACCUUUCGGCCACAGUGACUAUCUGUAUUAUUAGGUAUACUCUAUCUUUAUUACGUGUGGUAUAUGAUGUGCUUAUACCUAUAAGUCUAAGGGAAGAAAAUUGAACACAGUGCUCUUUGUACUCAAGUUCUUUUUGCCAUUUUCCCUGACCAUGGUAUCAGCAAAGCACCUGAUAAAUGUAUAGCUAUGGUCUUUUAACAGAAGGCAUAUCUCAUUAUAUCUGAAGUCAGUGCCUGGGCCAUGAAGUCUCUCAUGACUUCUCCACAGAAG